AAAAACAAACGAAGGUAUUGAAAUAAGAUUUUAAAUGAGUGCUAAGAGAAUGGAUGAAUGUAUAUAAAUUAUUUUUUUUUAAAAAUUAAAAAUUAAAUUAAAAAUGAAAAAGUUUUUAUGGGUUAGUGGGACAAGAAGACCCUAUGAAUCUUAAUUACUUUUAAGAUUAAAAAACUUUUUUAAAAGUAAUUUAAUUGGGGCGAUUAAAAAAGAAUGACUAUCUUUAUUUUGAAUUUAUUUUUUAAAUAUAUGAAAAGAUACUCUAGGGAUAACAGCGUUAUUAUUUUGGAUAGUUCAUAUUGAUAAAAUAGUUUACGACCUCGAUGUUGAAUUAAUGAACCUACUAAAUGAAGUUAUUUAGAAAGGUAGAUUGUUCCUCUAUUUAAUCAUUACUUGAUCUGAGUUUCAGACCGGA
rnacentral:rRNA from 1 species